rnacentral:rRNA from 1 species
AUUGAACGCUGGCGGCAGGCCUAACACAUGCAAGUCGAGCGAGCGGCGGACGGGUGAGUAAUGUAUGGGAAACUGCCUGAUGGAGGGGGAUAACUACUGGAAACGGUGGCUAAUACCGCAUACUCUCGGCUGUGCCCAUAUGGGAUUAGCUAGUAGGUGGGGUAAAGGCGCACCUAGGCGACGAUCCCUAGCUGGUCUUAGAGGAUGAACAGCCACACUGGAACGGAGACACGGUCCAGACUCCUACGGGAGGCAGCAGUGGGGAAUAUUGCACAAUGGGCGCAAGCCUGAUGCAGCCAUGCCGCGUGUAUGAAGAAGGCCUUAGGGUUGUAAAGCACUUUCAGCGAGGAGGCGUUACCCGCAGAAGAAGCACCGGCUAACUCCGUGCCAGCAGCCGCGGUAAGUC